rnacentral:lncRNA from 1 species
CACACACACAUACUAUAACAACUAACAAGCAAUCAUCUCUCUCUCGGUUCUUCAUUCAUCGUCACCUUCGUGGUGUGGUAAUCGAAGGUGUUAAUUUCUUAAUCAGUGUGCUUUUUAGCGAGGAAAUGGAGUAUCGAUUACGCAGGUGAACCGACUGGAUAUUGAUUGGACCGUGAACUGAAGAUGGUUGUGAAACCGGAUUACACUUGUCUUUUUUCUUUACAAGAGUUAUUUAUGAUCUCACUCGGUUCUUAAAGGUUUCCCACGAAUGAAAUGUAAUUGGAAGUUGCCUCGGU